rnacentral:rRNA from 1 species
UUCCCCUGUUUAACAAAACCCUGUCUUUUUGAUUUGAAAUAUAAAGUCUGACCUGCCCCCUGAUUAAAUUUGAAGGGCCGCGGUAUUUUGACCGUGCAAAGGUAGCAUAAUCCUUAGUCUUUUAAUUGAAGGCUGGUAUGAAUGGUUUAACGAAGUAUUAACUGUCUCAUUAUAAUUUUUUGAAUUUAACUUUUUAGUCAAAAGGCUAAAAUGAAAUUAUAGGACGAGAAGACCCUAUAGAGCUUUAUAUAUAUAUUUAAUAAUUCAUUUUUAGUUGUUUUUGUUGAUUUUUAGGUAUAUUUAUUUGGUUGGGGUGACUUGAAGAUUUAAUAAACUCUUUAUUUGUAAAGACAUAAAUUUAUGGGAGAUUGAUCCAUUAUUAAUGAUUAAAAGAUUAAGUUACCUUAGGGAUAACAGCCGU